rnacentral:rRNA from 1 species
UGUAAGCGUAUACCAAAGUUGUUGCAGUUAAAACGCUCGUAGUCGGAAUUUGGCAGUUCCGGAUGUGUGCACGUCGUGUGCGCACUUCGCGGGGAUUGCUUUUGUGGUCUUGCGUAGGAUGAGGCACUUUUAUUAGUGAACGUCCUCACGCAACCACUUUUUACUGUGAGAAAAUCAGAGUGCUCAAAGCAGGCAUUUGCCGUGAAUGUAUUAGCAUGGAAUAAUAGAAUAGGACUUGGUUAUAUUUUGUUGGUUUGUUGGGACUGAGUAAUGAUUAAGAGGGACAGUUGGGGGCAUUUGUAUUUCGGUGCUAGAGGUGAAAUUCUUAGAUUACCGAAAGACAAACUGCUGCGAAAGCGUCUGCCAAGGAUGUUUUCAUUGA